rnacentral:misc_RNA from 1 species
UAAAACGCAUUUCUUUCUUCCCAGAUGCCAGAGUUUCACCUGCUGAGGUUGCUGCAACAUUUCCCUCAGACUCGUGCCCUUUUUCAUUAGAAGUUGGAAAGUUCAUUGAGCUUUUCUGCUUGCCAUUUGAGGCAGGGGCCACGUCUGACAGACCAUCUUGGGAAGAUAAAGCCCAUGAUACAGGUGGGUGUUUAUGUGAAGUGUUAUCAAGCCCUUUGUUUAUUAUAGAAGGUACACUAUCAUUAGAAACCUCAUCUCCAGAUGAUAAAUUAUUGCCCAUCUCAUAACUGUAUAAGCAUCGAUUUACACCAGCACUGCUCAGCGAACUGUGCCUGUCUGGUAUCCUCUCAAAAUCCAUUGCAGCUUCCACUUGCUCAACCAAGUUGUCUUCAAUUUGGGAAACUGACCUGCCCAUUGAAAUCAUGGCUUCAGACCCAUACAUACUUCGCUUUCUUUCCAGUUCUGGCAAGUCUUUGUCCAGAGUUGAUUUACCAAUAAAUC